ensembl:lncRNA
UGCUGCCUUGUCUCUCUCACCCCCAUCACCACCAGCACUGGCUCCGACCCCCCCCCCCCCCCCCCCCCCCCCCUCCCCCUCCCUCAGCUCAGUGCUAAUGGGCUUUUUGCACUCACUCAUUCUCAGAGGCAGGAUCGUGCCAGAAGGGAGGAGGAUGCCAAUGCUGAUGCCAAGACAGGCAGCCUUGACCUGGGGUAAGCUUUUCUUCUCACUGUACUUUAGUCCCUUGGCUGUGGAAUGGGGAUGCUAAAGAUACCUCCUCAUAGGGUUGUUGGGAGGCUUAAAUAAAUCAAUACUGUAAAGCGCUUAGAACAGGACCUGGCGCAUAAUGAGGACUCUGUAAACGCUACCACUCAUUCAUUCAUUCUAGCUCUUUCCAAGUAGGUUUAAGAUGACUCACAAUGGAAAACACAGACAUAACAGGCCUUUAAAAUCAGGUUAAAAGAAUACAAGGCUGGGGAGAUCCCACUGUGGCUCAGUGGGUUAAGAACCUGACAAUUUUUGUAAGGAUGCAGGUUCGAUCCCCGGCCUCACUCAGUAGGUUAAAGAUCCAGCAUUGCUGCAAGCUGUGAUGUAGGUCACAGAUUCAGCUCAGAUCCGCGUGGCUGUGGCUGUGGCUGUGGCUGUGGCCGGGAGCUGCAGCUCCUGUUCAACCCCUAGCCUGGGAACUAACAUAUGCUGCAGGUGUGGCCCUAAAAAGAAAGAAAAAAAAAAAAAAAAAAAAAGAAUGCAGAGCCAGGAGUGAGGAGGAAUGUCCUAGAACCGUGGGCUGAGUGGCUGUCGCACCUGAACACGGCUUCCAGGCUGGCUGGUCCAAAAUGUUACACUGUUGGUGUCAAGCUCUCCUUUUCUGAUCAAAGAAAGCAUGCCAGCUUUUCAGAAUAGACAGAUGUUUCUGGUUCAGGCUAAUAACUGACAUGAAAUGAUGCAUUGGCAAAACCUCCCCCUUGCCUCCUCCUUCCGCCUUUUUAUUUUUACUUAAUUUUUUUUUUUUUUUUUGUCUUUUUUGCCUUUUCUAGGGCCGCUUCCCGUGGCAUAUGGAGGUUCCCAGGCUAGGGGUCGAAUCGGAGCUGUAGCCGCCGGGCUACGCCAGAGCCACAGCAACGCAGGAUCCGAGCUGCGUCUGCAACCUACACCACAGCUCACGGCAACGCAGGAUCCCUAACCCACUGAGCAAGGCCAGGGAUCGAACCCGCAACCUCAUGGUUCCUAGUCGGAUUCGUUAACAACUGAGCCACGAUGGGAACUCCCCCCUUCCGCCUUUUAGAAUCAACCCCUGAGCAUCUCAGGGGCUCCUCUUCAGGCCAUUCCGCUCCCCCCACCUCUAGAAGCCCAGGACACUGCUGCCCUAAAGUGAAGCCCUCAGCCACCCCGGGACAGGGUGCGCAUGGGGAGCAGCUUCUGACAGCAGCAGGAGCUCCAGGUCCCUGGACACGAAGGGCCUGACCUCCGAUGCAGGCUGAGCCCCCUCCCAUGGGCUGCUUCCCAGCAGCCGGAGCAGUGAAUGCCCCUGGGAGGGGGCCUAGGAAUGGUCACUGAGAAAUCCCGGAGCUGCCCACACACUUCCCCUUCUCUCAAAUGCCAGGAGGCCAGGGGAAGGUGAGCAAGGCGCUCCGUCCUGAGUCACUGGAAAGAUUGGGGGAUCCAGUGGCAAAGGGUCUCAUUCCCUCUCCUCCAGCACCCUGGAGGGAAGGGGGGGUGGCCCUGGAUGCAGCCUGAGACCAUCUCUGCAGACUUAGGGGGCACAAGGGAUGACGCCCUCAAAGCUCCCUCCCCGCUCCCACCUCCCCCCUUCAGGAGGGCACAGAGGAUGAUGGGAACUUUCCCCUGUCCUGGGAGCCUCUGCCUCAUUUGUGAAGGGCUCAUUGAGCCCCCAACUCUCACCCACCUCUUUGGCUGAGGUGUCCCCCUCAGCAACCCCCAACUCCCCUUCCUAAGCCGGGCCCCGGGGGUGGUUUCCCAGCAGCCCGUGGGCUUCCAUCCUGGGCUUGGGGCCUCUGUGCAGCAGGACCAAUCCCCUGCUCCCAGUCCUCCUUGCAGAGAGCCAGCAGAGGAACCCAGGGCACAGCGCACCUGGGGCCAGCGUCCCCGGGGGCCCCAGGGUGCAGCUGCACCCCCCCACCCCAUCCCGGUUCCCCUGAGUCGGCUGGAGGAGGCAGAGAAGCUGGCUGGGUGGCUGGGCUCGCAGUUCUCCCUCCCGGUCGGGGAAAUGCCUUCGGCGCCGGCGCUCGGUGAUGCGCCCACCCCCUGGUCAGCACCUGCAUCAGUCAUGGGAGCAGCUUGCCCAGAGGGGUUUUUUGAGGCCCGACACUAGACAUAAGUGUGAGGGACGUCCCAGCCGGCCCUUGGUCCCCUCCUAUAAUUUAUAGCUGGUAUCAAGGGGCAGAACAGUCAUAGAGGUGGGGGGGCGGGUGCUGGUCAGGGCUGGAUUCGGACUUGGAGCUGCUUCAGGGGGUGCGGGUGGACUGGCCCCCUCUCCAGCCCUUCUUGGUGCUGAUGGCCUCUUAUGUGGACUGUGGCAAUAGCCUCUUAUCUCCUGGCCCGAGCCUCGCCCCUCUAAUUGACCGUCUGCUUAGAUUAUGCCCUGUGAGCGGAUCAAGGGCCUCGUCGCUCCCUGGCUCAGAAAGCUUCAAAGGCUCCCCACUGCCCAUGGGAACCAGAAGACUCUCAGGGCCUUGAACUGGGCCUCAGGUACCUUUCCAACCCCUUCCCGCCUCUCCCCUAAGAGAACCCUCUGCCCUAACCGAAGGCCUGGGGCUCUUUGGGCUCCUGGCUGGCCCUCCUCUCCUUCCCCUCAAGGCACAGCCCGAGGCUCACGUACUCCCAGAGGCUUGCCUGACUGUCCCAUCCGUCGGGGACUAUUCUAUGAGCUCUUGGCAUUCAUCUGUUGGGAAAAGAGGCCAGUGUUGGAGCCAGAUAGGCCUGGGUUAGAGAGUCAGCUCUGGUCUCAGUCUAUUCACUGGUUUCAAGUCACCUAGCUUUUCUGAGCUUCCAUCUCCCACGCAGUAAGUGGGAAUCAGGCCCACCCUGCAGGGGACCUGGGAGUCCAGAGGCUGAGAAGCAGCUAUUAUUUUGGCCUUUCCAGGGCCCAUUCCUCUUCCUUUGGGUGAUGUCCUCUGGAUCUGCAGUUGGAUGUCUGGUGCGGUAGAGCCGACCUCACUUCUGUGUUCCAGUGUGAACACAUGACCCAGGCCCAGCCAAUGAGAAUACCCUGUUGCCCUGGGAUUGGUUCCCAGGGAUGGACAUGUGACUCACACUGGGCCAAUAGGAACCAUGCUUGAGACUUUAGCUGGAGUUACUGAGACUUCACGUCCAUUGAAGAUGAAAAACUGGAGCCUUUAGCUAUUGUUGUGGGUUGACUUGUGUCCCCCCCCCCCCCCCACAAGAUAUGUUCGAGUCCUAAGCCUUUGAAGGUGAUCCUGUUUGGACAUGGGUCUUUGCAGAUGUAAGCAAGUUAAGAUAAAGCCACACUGGAUGAGGUGGGACCCAAAUUCAGUGACUGGUACCUUUAUAAGAAGAGGGAGAUGCAAACAUGGAAGCACACAGGGAAAAGGCCACAGGACAACAGAGGCAGAGAUGGGAGUGAUGAUUCUACGAACCAAGGAUCAGCAAGGGCUGCCAGCGACUGCCAGGAGCUGGGAGAAAGGCAUGGAGCAGUUUCCCCCCUUCACCUCUAGAGGGAACUGACCUUGCCAACACCAUGACUUCAGGCUUCUGGCCUUCACAACUGUGAGAGCAUGACUAUCGACGUGUUCACCCACCCAAGUGUGUGGUGAUUUGUUAUGGCAGGCGCAAUAAUACAGCCAAAUGCGAGACUGUGCCUGAGACUGAAGCCAACCCUGGAACUAGGGCUCUGGAUGGGCACUCUUGGCGCCAUGAAGACUCGGAUCCAACAGGGGCUGAAGCAAGAGGUUUACCGGACUUUUUGGUUACAUGUGCCACCCUAGUCUCUAUGUUACUGAAACUGUUUCAGCUGAGUUUCUGCCUCUUUCAACUCACAGAGGCUUGAUAAUAUAGAAAUAGUGGAGGUCAAAUACACAGCAUGGUGCCUGGCCAAUAGGAAGCUCUGUGUAUUUAUUAUUACUGCUGUUGUUGUUGUUUCUAUGUCCAUCUAGACUGAGGGCUCUCCAGGGUAAGGGCCAUACCUCUUGUCUGUGUCACUGUGGGUUCCCAGGAAGCAGACUCUGGGACAGAGUUGGUGUGUAGGAUGUGGCCUUGGGAUCAAGCCCUGGGGUCAAGGGGGCAAGGAAGCAAGACUGGGCGGAGGGAAGCCGAGCAGCGACAGCCUCAGCUGGGCCCACGGAUGUUCGGUCCAGAGUCAUCCUACACGGGGCCCCUUUUGCUCCCAGAUCCAUCGAAUCUGUGCUGCCCUGGGAAAGGUGAGCUCUCGUGAGAGGCAGAGGCAGAGGCCUUCCCUGAAGGGGCAGAUGGCUGGGAACUGGCGCCCAGCCACGGGGCAACGGGUUCUCAACAAAGGGGACCUGGGUGGGCCACCAUGGUACCCACCCUACUCAGGGCACAAGUCAGAGCCUGGCACCCAGUUACCAGUCAUUGUUGAAAAUAUUCAUCCAUUCACUCAAACCCAAGGCUGAUUAGAUGUCUUGGGGUCUGAGAUAGAGUCCUUCAGGAGAGGGGUCCUGGUGGAAGCUGGGCAUGGCGGAAACCCCACGACCGGGCUGGCGGGGACGUGGUCAGGGGGAUGUGACCAGACUGGUGGUGUGGCCUUGCCUGGCACAGGUCCACUGAGAGCUGAGGGAGCUCGGUGUUGGGGCAAGCUUUCAAGUGCCCUCUUUAGAACUUUAGGCUCCUGGGGCUAUAAAAUGUCUCUUUCUUUCUUCUGUUGAUUUCUUUGGUGUUAGGGUGGAGUCAGAGCCUGGCUAAGUCUUUAAAGUUUUCUUUCUUGUGUCUUUCCUGCUUCCCCAGGCAGCUCUUCCUAUAGCUGGGGUGUCCCCCACCCCCAGUGCCAGACAGCCACCUCCUGCCAGGCCUCGCAGGCCCAGGGCCUGGUGCUCAGAGCUGGCCAGCCAGGCCCUCCCUCUUAUCAGAUGAGAAGGCAAGACUCAGAGAGGAAGCUGGUUGUUCAAAGGAAGAGUCAGUGGUUGAGCCAGGAAGCGGGACCCACUUCUCCCCGCUCAGCCUUCCUCAUGCGCAGUGCCAACCGCAGCUCAAGCCACAGCCCUCGUCUAAGGAGUGUCCAGCCCCUCCACUGUACAUGAUGGCCUCCUGGGCACAGCGUUCUGGGGACAGGCUGCAGGUGCCACACAGGUGAGCCCACUGCCUUGGCAGAGGGUCAAGCGGGUGUCACGCCUCCCAGACUUCUCCAGGAAACCAGGGGCAGCCCAGCAGGCCUUCUGAGGCCACCUUGUCCCACCCACAGGUGCAGAGAAAGUCCUAAGGCGAGAUCUUCCUGAGGUCACACGAUGAGCUGCCAGUGAGGGUAGAAGCCAGGGCUUGUCCUAUUGUCCCUAAAGUUACUCCCCUCGCUGAAUUUGUGUAGAGCCUUUAACUCUGUUUUAUCUUAUCUCCAAAAAUGGUUUAUCUUAUUUCCAACAACACAGAUCAUCAAGUUUAACAGAGAACAACACAAGAAUCGAUUUUAUCACACCAACGAGACCACACACCUCUUAAGAGUAAUUCACCAGCAGGGGAGGAUGCAAACCACUUUACGUGUGCUCCCCCCCCCCCCCAUCGCCCCCAACUUUAAAUAACCCGGUCUGCUGCCUGAGAAGGUGGCUCCAUUUGAUGACGUUCAGUUUGCUCUGUAAGCCCCUGGCUGAUCUGGAUGUUCAAAGAAGGGCCUAGAAGGAGUCAGGCAGGAGGGGAUGGGGAAGCUGAGCAGGCUGCCUGACACAGGGAGAAAACUGGGCCCGCAGCAGGGAGGAGAACAGGGGACUGGAGCCAGGAGACUUGGGGGCCCUGCUGGGGGAGGGCAGGUGGAAGUCUGGUGCCUGGAGGCUCUUAAAGAACCCAUGUGUGCGUGUGCGUCGGAAGCUCUUUGCCUCUCCGUCCUCCUGUCCACUCCUCCGCAGUGAAACCCUCCAUCUCUGGGGGUGGGAGAACUGGCUUUGCAUGGAGAGAGAAGGAGGGACAGAGGCGGUACCUGAGCGUCCAGAGGGUGGCACGGACAGAGACACACAGAGGUGGGGUCCAGGGGCUGAGGGGCCCUGAACCCGAGCUCCCCACCUCACCCAAAUUCUGGGUGAUCUGCAGAAAUCCUGGGGAGGGCUGGAUUCCUUGGAGCUGGGUGCGGGGUUUCACACUGGUCCUAGACCUCAGGGGCCUGGUGGACCCCAGCUGACCAGGUUACACCUACAUUUUCUGCUGUGCCCUUUCCGUGCCACUCUGUGGGAGCCACGCCCACCUUCCACCAGGGCACCUGGGCCUCGAGGUUAGAUGACUCACCUGAGUCCCCCAGCUGACCCCACCCUGGCCGAUGGCUCUCUCAAUACUCCUGUGCAGCGUGUAGGGGGGCCAAAGCACAGGCCCUGGGGCUCCAGAGAUGUGGGUUUGACUCCUGCUCCGACCCCGACCAACUCUGUUACUUUAGGGAAAGUCAGAGUCUCAGCUUCAGUUUCCUCAUCGGUAAAGUGUGAGUUCUGAUGCAGGCACGUGCUAGAUGCUGAAGGCGUAGAAGCAUCAUUAUCAGCACCCAGCACCCAGAGCCCCGUGGAAGCCCGCCCCGAGAGAGGCUCCUCCUCCUGAGGGCGUGGCCUCCUUCCUGCCCUCCUGUCCUCUCCCUCCAUGAGGUGCUGCUUUUAGGACAAGUCUCCAAGUGCACCCUGGCUUCUCUGGCAUGUUCUGUCCCUUGAGGAGUGAGAGUCCUCCCCAGGGGAGAGGCGGCCCUGGCUGGAAGCCUGGGAAGGACCUGUGACCACGUAAAUCUCCAUGAGGGGCCUUUGGGACCAAGAUCAUGGUCAGAAAUGGGUGGGGAGGUCCCAUCAUGGCUCAGUGGUUAAGGAACUUGACUAGUAUCCGUGAGGAUGUGGAUUUGAUCCCAGGCCUCGCUCGGUGGGUUAAGGAUCCGGCGUUGCUGUGAGCUGUGGUGUGGGUGGCAGGGGCAGCUUGGAUCCCAGGUUGCUGUGGCUGUGGUGUAGGCUGGCAGCUAUGGCUCCGAUUCAACCCCCAGCCCGGGAGCCUCCAUGUGCGUGGGUGCGGCCCUGAAAAAAAAAAAAGAAAAAGAAAAA